AUUGAACGCUGGCGGCAUGCCUUACACAUGCAAGUCGAACGGCAGCGGGGACUUCGGUCCGCCGGCGAGUGGCGAACGGGUGAGUAAUAUAUCGGGAACGUACCUUUCAGUGGGGGAUAACGUAGCGAAAGUUACGCUAAUACCGCAUAUUCUGUGAGCAGGAAAGCAGGGGAUCGCAAGACCUUGCGCUGAUUGAGCGGCCGAUAUCAGAUUAGCUAGUUGGUGAGGUAAAGGCUCACCAAGGCGACGAUCUGUAGCGGGUCUGAGAGGAUGAUCCGCCACACUGGAACUGAGACACGGUCCAGACUCCUACGGGAGGCAGCAGUGGGGAAUUUUGGACAAUGGGCGCAAGCCUGAUCCAGCCAUGCCGCGUGAGUGAAGAAGGCCU
rnacentral:rRNA from 1 species